AGGGCAGGUGUCUCACACAGGAAGUGGUCCACAUGGUGGUUCCCACAAUGUGGUAAGAGCAGGGUAACUGGGGACAUGGCCAAGGAGUUGGCCAUCCCACAGCCCCAAGCCACCAACACCAAGGCCAUGCAGAGGCAUGGAUUCAGGAUCACCAUGGCAUGAAGGGUCUUGCAGACUGCAACAAAGCAGUCAUAUGCCAUGACGGCCAGGAGCAGACACUCCACACCACCCAGACCCAGGAAUAGGAAGAGCUGGAUAGCACAGCCAGUGUAGCUGAUGGUCUUGUCACCUCUACUCAGGUUACAGAGGAGCUGGGGGAUGGAGCUGGUGGUAAAACUGAGGUCCAGGAAGUAGAGAUGCGUGAGAAAGAAGUACAUGGGAGUGUGGAGGUGGAAGUCCAGCUGGAACACCAGGAUUAUGGUAGUAUUGCUCACAAGUGUCAGGAGAUAUGCAAUCAAGAUGACCACAAAGUGGAUUCUCUCCAGAUGGGGACUAUCAGAAUACCACAAAAGGAUGAAAUUUCCCUGGGUGCUGUCAUUGGUUCCAUUACCUCUACUGCAACUGAAGAGAAAUAUGGAUACUAAUAAUGGUGACACUCUUAAACAGGAUGCUGCCCUUUCCUCCUCUUGGAACAAGACAGGAGCACUUGUCUUGCAACAAGCCCUGCUGCUAACACACACCUCUUUCCAUGGAAGAAACAGAACUCUCAUGUGGAAAACAGAGGGCCUUCACUUUCUGAAUGGUUCUAAGAAGGUGCUGGUCAAAAAAUGUGAACACUAUUGCCCCCAAAUUCACCUGCCGCCUCAGACAUGCCCGCACUGAAACCACAAGUCCACAAAAUGUCCUUUUUUCAGUUCCUAGAGGGGAAUCAAAGCUACAAGAGGCUCAAUGAGACUACUCCUGGGCAUGAGUUAACAACAGCCGCACUCCAACAGCUCAUCUAGUUGAGGAUUGUGGCAUCACCUGAUCCUGGGUUCAAUCAGAUGAAACAGAGAUUUAGCGUCUAAUACCCACAGUGUAGCCUGUGCAGGGAGGACUGUGUUCCUGGAGAGCUAAGGCAGCAUUCCAUGCUCUGGGACCCACACUUGAGUUGAGACAUGGGUUCUCCAUCAGCCUAG
rnacentral:lncRNA from 1 species